CAGCAAUAGAGCUGUCCACAAAUUCCAGUAUGGAAACUUCAAUUCUAGAUCCUAUCACUGGAGAAGGGAGGAGCUGGGCACUGUCAUAUUAAGCAGGAUCUCUUGAAUCUCCUGAAUUUCUCUAACUGAAGCCAGGACAAGCUGGAGAGCCUACAGAAGCAGCUGUUGCAACUGUCUUGCACAACAACUUUAGCUGCUGUGUUCUGUCCUCAGUGUCCUGGGGGGCAGGAGGUCCUUGUGAACAUGUGCUCUUUAAAUGCUUCCCUGAUCCAGCCUUAGCUCUACACUCUCUGCUGUGGCACUCAGGACACUUGGACCUAGAGAAACACAAGUUCCUUGUCAUGACUAUUUUACAACAUAAUACAGAAACCUCAGAUUCUGGUCCCAUUUUAAGCCAAAAGAAAGAAAAAUGUGCACUUUUGUGGUUAAUAGUUUACUUGAAGUUUCAUCUCUCAGGCAGCUUUUCACUAAGCUCUCAACACUUAGUAAGCAUUUUUUAAACUCCUACUACGUGCCAGGCACCAUGCCAAGGAUGCAAAGUCAAAACAGUCCUUGUCCUCUAGGAGCUCAUAAUCUAGCACCAUCAUCUGAUGUGCAUAUUGUCAAAAUGAAGUCUAGUACCCCACAGUAGCCAUUAACCUCCUAUUGGCUGAACAACGGCUAAGCCAAUAAUAACAAGAAUGAAAACGUCUGAGCCAACUGUCUGCUUUUCUGUGAGUAAGUUCAAACAUUGCACCAGGAGAAGUUGGCAACUUCAGUCAGUCCUACUUCACGUGAACUCAAGCAGGAGAGCUGGAAAUAGCAAAUGUUAAAAAAUUAUAAUUGUUCUUCAACUACUUCAUCUUUUCCCCUUUGUCAGACAUUUUAUACAAAUAAGAGUAUCUCUUGGUGAUUGAGAAAAUAAAGUCCUUGGGCUGGUUGAAGGCUUGUAAAA